rfam:Oryza rufipogon genomic scaffold, chr01
UUUAAGUGUAGUUGUGGGUUUUUGCGUCCAACGUUUCACCGUCCGUCUUAUUUGAAACUUUUUUAUAAUUAGUAUUUUUAUUGUUAUUAGAUGAUAAAACAUGAAUAUUAAUUUAUGCAUGAUUUUUAUUUUUUCAUAAAUUUUUCAAAUAAGACGAACUGUCAAACGUUAGACACAGAAACUCACAACUGCAUUUAAA